GCUGAUUUAUUUCCACGGGGUUUUUUUGGGGCAGAAUUUGGGGGGCAAAAACCCCAAGGAAGGGGGGGAGGGGAAGGGGAAUUUGGGGGAAAAAAUCCCAAUUUUCCAUUUCCAGAGAGGAAAAAAAAAAAUCCCAAUUUUUCCAUUUUUAGGGGGAAAAAAAUCCCAAUUUUUCCAUUUUCAAGGGGGAAAAAAUUCCCAAUUUUCAGGGUAAAAAAAAUCCCAAUUUUCCACCCAAAUCUGGCAUUUUUAGGGGGGAAAAAUCCCAAUUUUUCCAUUUUUAGGGUAAAAAAAAAUUCCCAAUUUUUCCAUUCUCAAGGGGAAAAAAAAUCCCAAUUUUCCACCCAAAUUUGGCAUUUUUAGGGGGGAAAAAAAAUCCCAAUUUUUCCAUUCUUAAGGGGAAAAAAAAAUCCCAAUUUUCCACCCAAAUUUGGCAUUUUUAGGGUAAAAAAAAUCCCAAUUUUUCCAUUUUUAGGGGGAAAAAAAAAUCCCAAUUUUUAUCCUGGUGGUGGCAGGGGGGUCCCA
rnacentral:lncRNA from 1 species